rnacentral:rRNA from 1 species
AAUCGAAUGAGACCUUGGAGGACUGAAGUGGAGAAGGGUUUCGUGUGAACAGUGGUUGAUCACGAGUUAGUCGGUCCUAAGUUCAAGGCGAAAGCCGUAAAAUUUUAAGUUUUUAAAAUAAAUUUAAAAUAUUUUAUUUUUUAGACUGAUUUAUUUUAUUGAACGAAAGGGAAUACGGUUCCAAUUCCGUAACCUGUUGAGUAUACGUUUGUUAUUAAAAAUGGUCUUUAUGAUCAUCCUGGCAACAGAAACAACCAUAAAGAAGCCGUCGAGAGGUAUCGGAAGAGUUUUCUUUUCUGUUUUAUAGUCGUACUACCAUGGAAGUCUUUCGAAGAGAGAUAUGGUAGAUGGACUAGAAGAGCAUGGCAUUUACUGCUGUGUCGAUAUUUUCUCCUCGGACCUUGAAAAUUUAUGGUGGGGUCACGCAAACAUCUUAACAGGCCGUACCGAUAUCCGCAGCUGGUCUCCAAGGUGAAGAGUCUCUAGUCGAUAGAAUAAUGUAAGUAAGGGAAGUCGGCAAAUUACAUCCGUAACUUCGGGAUAAGGAUUGGCUCUGAAGAUUGAGAUAAUCGGGCUUGAUUGGGAAACAAUAAUAUGGUUUAUGUACUCGUUCUGGGUAAAUAGAAUUUAUUAAAAUUUAUUUUUUUAAAUUUGUUCCCCGGAUAGAAGUUUACUUAACCAAUUGUGGAACUUUCUUGCUAAUAAUAUAUUAUAAAUUAAUAAUUUUCGAAUUAUUAUAUUUUUAUAUAUUUAUAACGGUUAUCAAUUAACAAUCAAUUCAGAACUGGCACGGACUUGGGGAAUCCGACUGUCUAAUUAAAACAAAGCAUUGUGAUGGCCCUAGCGGGUGUUGACACAAUGUGAUUUCUGCCCAGUGCUCUGAAUGUCAAAGUGAAGAAAUUCAAGUAAGCGCGGGUAAACGGCGGGAGUAACUAUGACUCUCUUAAGGUAGCCAAAUGCCUCGUCAUCUAAUUAGUGACGCGCAUGAAUGG